UCGCCCGUUUGUACUUCUACAGUCAGGGAGUGCGAUGCAACGACCAUCUAACUAUUAGGUCUGCGUAUGUAGAAGUUGAACUAACUCCUGUCGCGUCGAGUUGUUUCGUGAUCACACGUUAUUCGAAAGGACAGAUCUAGGCUUACGGUAAUUCCGGGGUAAUUCUGCACACUUUUUAGCUAAUUAGAUGACCCAUGUACGUAUAUUCUGCAAGAGAUUGCGUGUAGUAUACGUGGACGGCUGUUCUUGGCACCAUGCAACUAGACAAGCAAGCGGUUGGACGUUUUCUGCACUAGCUAGGGUCAAAUAUCACCCACAUGACAACUAGAGCUCCACAGUGAAUUUAUCGAAUUCUAAUCACUGCGAAGUCGAAGUGGUACCGUAGCGAGACUACGAGCGUUUUCACGCUAUUCUCACCGUGACGUCAAAACGAGUCGCAAAAUUUUAGAUAGCUGUACAGGGACUGUACAGGGACUAUUUGGUCGCGUGGACUAUUUGGUCGCGUGGACUAUUUGGUCGCGGGCAAUUAUCUCGCUCCUGUUUGGUUCCCGAAACCGUUUAAUUAGGGCUUAUUUGGUUUCGGCCACCUGCAGGGACUUUUUGGUCGCGUGGACUAUUUGGUUUCGCGUUUAUUGCGCCUCGAAUCGGCACUCUCCAACUCUUGCAGCUGUACGAGACGGACGCGAACGACGUGACGAUGGCCAUGAUACUUUUCACGCGUCUCCCAGACGUCUCGAUGAGCCGAAAUCGAGUGCGACCUGCUUCUUCUUCGUUUGUAUUUGGCUUCAUAUGAAUACCGAAGUCAUCACGACAUUGUCGAUCGCAAUUUUGCGUGUCUGACGUUUCCUUUUGAGGCAAAUCUCGGCUCGUCUGGCAGAGGACGUGUUGAAAGUAGGCGGAGUAAGAAUGUCUUGUGCGUUACAAGAAUGCUGCGGCUAGCUGCAGAUUUAUGCAUCGAUCCUGCAUGGCAUCGAUCGAUACCUAGGUGCACAGUGACGUAUGCGUACUGUCUACGCAAGAAAGACGAUCUACGUCUCUGAAAUUGGUUGCGCACGACCAAAGAUCGGUGAUGACUUUCAGAACAGAAGAGAAAAUAAAUCGGUGAUAGUAUUCCAUUGAAACUUUUGUACCACUUCUCGUGUUUCUCACUUUGUGGCGUUCAGUAUCCUGGUAGAAGCGUUCCUGAAAGUAUACGCGUCCAACAAAACUUGGCAUUGCGAGUAAUGCAGUUUUUAAGUGUGAAGGAAUAGUCUAAUUAGCUGAAGUUCUGCGAGGCUAUACGAAUAUUAUACUUUAGCGAAUUUAGUGUAAUAUACAA